AGACGGAGAGCAGGGAUGAAAGGAAGGGAAAUAUAGAGUAAAGAAAAGAAGAAUAAAGAAACAGACGACUGAAGAGAAGCGGGAGCCCAGUGGGAGUAAGUCGGGAAGCCUGUGCGGCCGUCCCCGUGAGAGCCACACUCACUGUUGUUUGAUCUCAACAGUUGUGUUAAUACGAUGUAGCUUAAAGAUGUCGCCUGGUGAAGUGUUUCUUGCUAAGUAAAGUCAUCCAGUCAGUCAUUCCAGCAAUCAGUCAGUCACGGAAGGAAAACAAUAAAGAGGGAAACGGAUGCUGCGCCGCAAGCCGUCGCGAGGAUUUCUUUGGAUGGUUGGGCGCGUUCCCUUCGGCCUUCCGUCCCAGAACGGUGGACGCUGUGAUCGGCGACUUUUCCCUAUUUGUUUUUAAUUUCAUAAUCGAGUCUGGUAGUUUUAUUAAGCGAGAUCCUGCAUCUUCCCAUCCUCGCCUCGGCGGGGUGCGAAGCGCCAGCGAGCCCAAGGUCUCCCUGGCGAGCAUGGCAGGAAUGGAGAUCUCCCGGCAGGGCGCCUCGGCGUCCCCCGGGGCCUCCACGGAGGUGCCGGAGAUCUGCCGGCUACAAGCCCGGGCAGGUGCGGCUGGUUAGCCGUGGUAGGCAAUUCACCUAGAAGAGCAAACUCCGAACAACAAACCCGGGCAGGUGGGGCUCGUUAGCCGUGGUAGGCAGUCUGCCUAGGAGAGCAAACUCCGAACAACAAACCCGGGCAGGUGGGGCUCGUUAGCCGUGGUAGGCAGUCUGCCUAGGAGAGCAAACUCCGAACAACAAACCCGGGCAGGUGGAGCUCGUUAGCCGUGGUAGGCAGUCUGCCUAGGAGAGCAAACUCCGAACAAUAAACCCGGGCAGGUGGAGCUCGUUAGCCGUGGUAGGCAGUCUGCCUAGGAGAGCAAACUCCGAACAACAAACCCGGGCAGGUGGGGCUCGUUAGCCGUGGUAGGCAGUCUGCCUAGGAGAGCAAACUCCGAACAAUAAACCCGGGCAGGUGGAGCUCGUUAGCCGUGGUAGGCAGUCUGCCUAGGAGAGCAAACUCCGAACAAUAAACCCGGGCAGGUGGAGCUCGUUAGAUGUCGUAGACAUCCACGUGAUGGGAACACCAAAAUGAAAAGGAGAAUGAAAAAGAACACCAGAAUAAUGAAAAUGUCGAAACGAAACACCAAGAAAACAAAAUAUGAAACAGAUCAUCCACCUUUCGGCCCUAAUUAACAUCACCAAAAUUAUGGGUGGGUCUUUUCUGGGGAGAAAAAGGCUCAUCCGGACCCAAGAACAUCAGAACGGAUGAUACAGAAAAGAUAAAAAACCAACAUUAAGAAAAGGAGAAAAAAACAUCAUCCACCUUUCGGCCCCAAGUAACAUCACAAAAUUAUGGGUGGGUCUUUUCUGGGGAGAAAAAGGCUCAGCCAGCCCUAAGAACAUCAGAACGGAUGAUACAGAAAAGAUAAAAGACCAACAUCAAGAAAAGAAGAAAAAAACAUCAUCCGCCUUUCGGCCACAAGUAACAUCACAAAAUUAUGGGUGGGUCUCUUCUGGGAGGAAAGCGGCUCACCCAGACCAACGAACAUCAACAAAAGGAUGAUAUAGAAAACAACAAGAGUAAGAAAAUGAACAGAAUAACAUCGAAAA